GUGCAGUCGAGGGGCAGCAUAAGGUAGCAAUACUUUGAUGGCGACCGGCGUACGGGUGAGUAACGCGUAUGCAACCUACCCUGUACUGGGGGAUAGCCCGGAGAAAUUCGGAUUAAUACCCCAUAAAGAUAUUAGAAGGCAUCUUCAGAUAUUUAAAGUUUCGACGGUACGGGAUGGGCAUGCGUAACAUUAGCUAGUUGGUAGGGUAACGGCCUACCAAGGCGACGAUGUUUAGGGGUCCUGAGAGGGUGAUCCCCCACACUGGUACUGAGACACGGACCAGACUCCUACGGGAGGCAGCAGUGAGGAAUAUUGGUCAAUGGGCGCAAGCCUGAACCAGCCAUCCCGCGUGCAGGAAGAAGGCGCUAUGCGUCGUAAACUGCUUUUCCAGGGGAAGAAAACCCGUUACGAGUAACGGCUUGCCGGUACCCUGGGAAUAAGCAUCGGCUAACUCCGUGCCAGCAGCCGCGGUAAUACGGAGGAUGCGAGCGUUAUCCGGAUUUAUUGGGUUUAAAGGGUGCGUAGGCGGAUUAAUAAGUCAGUGGUGAAAACCUUCAGCUUAACUGGAGACUUGCCAUUGAUACUGUUAGUCUUGAGUACGGUCAAGGUAGGCGGAAUGUGUAAUGUAGCGGUGAAAUGCUUAGAUAUUACACAGAACACCGAUUGCGAAGGCAGCUUACUGGGCCAUUACUGACGCUGAUGCACGAAAGCGUGGGGAGCGAACAGGAUUAGAUACCCUGGUAGUCCACGCCGUAAACGAUGAUCACUCGCUGUUAGCGAUACACAGUUAGCGGCUAAGCAAAAGCAUUAAGUGAUCCACCUGGGGAGUACGGCCGCAAGGCUGAAACUCAAAGGAAUUGACGGGGGCCCGCACAAGCGGAGGAACAUGUGGUUUAAUUCGAUGAUACGCGAGGAACCUUACCUGGGCUUAAAUGUAGAGUGCAUGAAGUGGAAACAUUUCUUUCCUUCGGGACUCUUGCAAGUGCUGCAUGGUUGUCGUCAGCUCGUGCCGUGAGUGUCGGUUAAGUCCCAUAACGAGCGCA
rnacentral:rRNA from 1 species